UCAGCAGCCGCGGUAAUACGAAAGGUGCAAGCGUUACUCGGAAUCACUGGGCGUAAAGCGCACGUAGGCGGACUCGUAGGUCAAUUGUGAAAUACCUGGGCUCAACCCGGGAACUGCAGUUGAAACCGCUUGUCUUGAAUACCUGAGAGGGUGGGGGAAUACCUGGUGGAGAAGUGAAAUUCGUAGAGAUCAGGUGGAACACCGGAGGCGAAGGCGCCUGCCUGGCAGUGUAUUGACGCUGAGGUGCGAAAGUGCGGGGAGCAAACAGGAUUAGAUACCCUGGUAGUCCGCACCGUAAACGAUGGAUACUAGGCGUUCGGAGAGUUAACCCUCUGAGUGCCAAAGUUCACACAUUAAGUAUCCCGCCUGGGAAGUACGGUCGCAAGACUAAAACUCAAAGGAAUUGACGGGGGCCCGCACAAGC
rnacentral:rRNA from 1 species